GGGUUUGCACCGAUUCUGUUCUCCUUAGCUUCCUUGGUAGCAACGUUCGCUUACUCGACCUUGUCCUCUGACUUGUCGGGCUCCCUUAAGCGAAUAUGAGCUCUGGAACAGUCCAACUCUCCAGCUGCUUCGAUCAUACCUCUGUAUGAUCAAGUCCCUCCCAUGGGACUCACUGUUACUUGCAUUCGAACUUUUCCCUUGGUGGAACCCAGCCCCCAUAUGCUGAUGACCAAGGUUUUCAUCCGAUGCAAAAUUCG
rnacentral:lncRNA from 1 species